GAUGAACGCUGGCGGCGUGCCUAAUACAUGCAAGUCGAGCGAACAGACGAGGCGCUUGCUCCUCUGACGUUAGCGGCGGACGGGUGAGUAACACGUGGAUAACCUACCUAUAAGACUUGGAUAACUUCGGGAAACCGGAGCUAAUACCGGAUAAUAUCUUGAACCGCAUGGUUCAAUAGUGAAAGCCGGUUUUGCUGUCACUUAUAGAUGGAUCCGCGCCGCAUUAGCUAGUUGGUAAGGUAACGGCUUACCAAGGCAACGAUGCGUAGCCGACCUGAGAGGGUGAUCGGCCACACUGGAACGGAGACACGGUCCAGACUCCUACGGGAGGCAGCAGUAGGGAAUCUUCCGCAAUGGGCGAAAGCCUGACGGAGCAACGCCGCGUAAGUGAUGAAGGUCUUCGGAUCGUAAAACUCUGUUAUUAGGGAAGAACAAAUGUGUAAGUAACUAUGCACGUCUUGACGGUACCUAAUCAGAAAGCCACGGCUAACUACGUG
rnacentral:rRNA from 1 species